AGUGAACGCUGGCGGUAGGCCUAACACAUGCAAGUCGAACGGCAGCACAGUAAGAGCUUGCUCUUACGGGUGGCGAGUGGCGGACGGGUGAGGAAUACAUCGGAAUCUACUUUUUCGUGGGGGAUAACGUAGGGAAACUUACGCUAAUACCGCAUACGACCUACGGGUGAAAGCAGGGGAUCUUCGGACCUUGCGCGAUUGAAUGAGCCGAUGUCGGAUUUGCUAGUUGGCGGGGUAAAGGCCCACCCAGGCGCCGAUCCGUAGCUGGUCUGAGAGGAUGAUCAGCCACACUGGAACUGAGACACGGUCCAGGCGCCUACGGGAGGCAGCAGUGGGGAAUAUUGGACAAUGGGCGCAAGCCUGAUCCAGCCAUACCGCGUGGGUGAAGAAGGCCUUCGGGUUGUAAAGCCCUUUUGUUGGGAAAGAAAAGCAGCAGGUUAAUACCCCGCUGUUCUGACGGUACCCAAAGAAUAAGCACCGGCUAACUUCGUG
rnacentral:rRNA from 1 species